UAUUUAAAAAGAGCAUGUGGAUAUCCCAAACCUGAAUUUCUCUAGAAAAAACUUAAUGUGGAUCUGGCUUCUGAGAU